GAAAAUUAAAUAGCUGCGGUAUAUUAACCGUACAAAGGUAGCAUAAUCAUUAGUCUUUUAAUUGAGGGCUGGAAUGAAUGGUUUGACAAAAAAUAAACUGUCUUUAUAUAUAAAAUUGAAAUUUAUUUUUAAGUUAAAAUGCUUAAAUAGAAUUAAGGGACGAGAAGACCCUAUAGAAUUUUUAAAUGGUUUUAGGUAUAAUUGUUUGGUUGAAGUAAAAUUAUAUUAGAAAUUAUUUUUUGUUGGGGUGACAAGAGAAUAAGAAAAACUUCUGAUUUUAUUUUUGACUAAAAUAAUAGAAAGAAAAAUAAGAUCUUUUAAUAAAAAUUAUAAGAAUAAAUUACCUUAGGGAUAACAGCGUAAUUUUAUUUGAGAGUUCAAAUCAAUAAUAAAGUUUGCGACCUCGAUGUUGGAUUAAGAUGAUUAUUAAAUGCAGAAGUUUAAAAAAUAAGUCUGUUC
rnacentral:rRNA from 1 species